GAGUCGUAUUUUGAAUGGACAGUUUAUAUGGAUGAACUGGAUAGCUGCGCCUUUAUUGGGACAAUGGAAAUAGCUCUACAAGUAGCUCUACAACAAGGGGAAAAAGUUGGGUGUACGUGCAAUGAAACCACUGCUCUGAUUGAAAACCUUCUGAGAAAUGAAUCAGUUUCACCCUUCAAGAAAGGCUGCACAACUAUCACAGCAAUAGGAAAACCUGGCCUGCAGGAAAGCCACACUGAUGGAGCACUCAGAGAGCAAAAAACCUGUGACCCCUGCUUAAUGGAGCAGAAAGACAUUUCCCAAUCCUGUUUCUGAGCAGACCCAAAAGAAACCACACAUCCGCAUCAUCCCCGACCCAAGGGACCUCCACUCUGUCCUCCCAUUACACAACAUGGACGCCAAAUAUGAAGAACCUCUCUGCAAAAUGACAUUUAAAGAAAUGUUGUUCAAGUAAACCAACUGACACACUCGGUCCUUAAAGUGCUAAAAGAAAGUGAAUCUGAACGUCGACAUUUCGCUGACAACUGGUUAACUUGGAUUUAUUUUAAACAAUCAUCAAACCAAUCAAAUG